rnacentral:RNase_P_RNA from 1 species
CGGGUUGGCCGGGCGGCCGCCGGGUCCCUAGGGACCGGGAGGAAAGUCCGGGCUCCGCAAGGCACGGCGCUGGCUAACGGCCAGCGGGGGAAACCCCGGGAAAGCGCAACAGAGAGCAGACCGCCGGAGGCCCUCCUCCGGCAAGGGUGAAAGGGUGAGGUAAGAGCUCACCGGCCGCCUGGGCGACCAGGCGGGCCAGGCAUGCCCCGCCGGGAGCAAGACCUAAUAGGGGAACUACAAAGCCGCCUGCUUUGUUCCCGGGUUGGUCGCUUGAGCGGGGGGGAGACCCCCCGCCUAGACGAAUGGCCGCCGGGGGCGAGAGCCCCCCACAGAACCCGGCUUACAGGCCGGCCCGGAUC